AUACAUAGGGGGCAAGCGUUAUCCGGAAUUAUUGGGCGUAAAGGGUGCGUAGGCGGUCUAUUAAGUUUAAGGUAUAAGUGCAAGGCUCGACCUUGUGAGGCUUUAGAAACUGGUAGGCUAGAGAUAGAUAGAGGCAAGUGGAAUUCCAUGUGUAGCGGUAAAAUGCGUAAAUAUAUGGAGGAACACCAGUGGCGAAGGCGGCUUGCUGGGUCUAUACUGACGCUGAGGCACGAAAGCGUGGGGAGCAAACAGGAUUAGAUACCCUGGUAGUCCACGCCGUAAACGAUGAGUACUAAGUGUUGGGGGAACCCAGUGCUGUAGUUAACAUAUUAAGUACUCCGCCUGAGUAGUACGUACGCAAGUAUGAAACUCAAAGGAAUUGACGGGG
rnacentral:rRNA from 1 species